rnacentral:lncRNA from 1 species
AAGAUCACCCAGCAUUAAGAUGCUUGACAUCUGUCACUAGACCCAUAGGAAAAAGGUGGUCUUGGAGUCUUCUUGGGAAAUGUCUUUCACUGCAUGGCGCUGUCUUUUAACUUAUCCUCCAGGCCCGUUCUCUGAGGGCGAUGUUCCGUCUUACCUCACCGGCGAGUUCCCUGGCGACUACGGCUGGGACACUGCUGGUCUGUCCGCUGACCCGGAGACCUUCAAGCGCUACCGUGAGCUGGAGCUCAUCCAUGCUCGCUGGGCUAUGCUUGGCGCUCUGGGCUGCGUGACCCCCGAGCUGCUGUCCAAGUACGCUGGCGUUUCGUUCGGCGAGGCUGUCUGGUUCAAGGCUGGUGCUCAGAUCUUCGCUGAGGGCGGCCUGAACUACCUGGGCAACGAGAACCUGGUUCACGCUCAGUCCAUUAUUGCCACCCUGGCUUUCCAGGUAAAUAUCAAAAUUCAAAGAUUGCGUUCACGUGAUUGCGGUCUUCAUUAGGACUAUGUAUAAUGGAUGGCUCGGAAGCUGUGCAUCGAUUGCCCUAAAGUAGCGCGUAUUGUAUGUUACGGAUGAGCUAUUUUUUAUGCAUGCGAGAAUGACGUCGAAAUCAUCAGCCCGUUUCCUUGUUAAAGAUUUGGUGACAACCUCGCUUUUCCUUCCUAUAUUAGGUCGUGGUGAUGGGCCUGGCUGAGGCCUACCGUGCCAACGGCGGCCCGCUGGGUGAGGGCCUGGACCCCCUGCACCCCGGUGGCGCUUUCGAUCCGCUGGGCCUGGCUGACGACCCGGACACCUUCGCUGAGCUCAAGGUCAAGGAGAUCAAGAACGGCCGCCUGGCCAUGUUCUCCAUGUUCGGCUUCUUCGUGCAGGCCAUCGUGACCGGCAAGGGCCCGAUUGAGAACCUGUCUGACCACCUGGCUAACCCCAGCGCCGUCAACGCCUUCGCCUACGCCACCAAGUUCACUCCUUCCGCGUAAAUGGUAUCCCAUCGUCUGUUGAUUCGGGAAGUUGUAUAAAGGUCGGCAGUCAUUUGCGGAUGAGCUGUCUGCUCGGAUUAACUCUUGAGCAUGAGGGUUUUGUAUCAUAUGGCGUGUGCUGGUAUAGCUCUGGACCAAUAUCCAAUAGUUUUGGUCUUGUGCUUUUAGUGACUGGAUGUAUUUUUGGCGGUUAACAAUUUCAUUGCAAACCAACUUAAAAUCCAAUCAUUUCUGUAAACAAAAUAAGCUUGUCUCGUGAUGUCAAGUUCCUUGAAAUCUGGUUUUGGCACUGUUCAUAACCUGACCUAAUUGGCAACUGUUGACCAACGGCUAUCUCAAUACAGUACGCUAGUGCAAAAUACUUCAUUCCUGUUGACAGCCAAAGUAUAUUUCCUACCAAUUUCUUAUCCCCUUAUGAACUGCUGAAUACUCGGACAAAUACUACAAAGUUGCAACGAUAUUACCUUAAACUUCUCUUUAGUACGCGGGGAAUAAGACAGAAUUUUGUGCUAUCGUCCCACUUGAGCAGAAAUCUCGUCUUCCGCCAUAAUUACUAACGAUGUUAUCUCCGACAUUUGGGCCCGUUUAACUGCAUUUGCGGCGCGGGAUUACUUGCCAAAACGUUGGGAACACGUGCCUCACAAAACCACAAAACCUUUCUUACACGUCAACAAGGCAGACAUGGUUGUUUGCCGCUUACCGAUGUACCAUAACGAGGGCUUUAGGGUUUUAGGCUCACGUCAUUAUUAGGCUCACGUCGGAGCCUAAUAAUUUUUGUAUGAGCGUACUAACUGAGGCCUUGUGAAUGCGAUUGUUACAGUGGACCCCGAACGGGUCGAGUGCAGCGUCCCUCGGAACGCCUCCCGCACAACACCGUGGGCCUUAUUCAAAAAGAACUCGACCACGCCGUACUAACUUCACUGGACAGAAGGCCGCAGUUAGUACACUCAUACAGAAAAUAUGAGGCUCUGACGUGAGCACUCAGACCUCGUCAUUGUACAUCGGUAAGCGGCAAACAGCCAUGUCUGCGUUGUUGACAUUUAAGAAAGGUUUUGUGGUGUGAGGAACGUGUUCCCAGCGUUUUGGCAAGUAAUCCCGUGGUGCAAAAGCAGUUAGACGGGCCCAAAAGUCAGAGAUAACAUCGUAAGUCAUGCGGUUAAGCGUUGACGUAGAUACGGCCAUGUUGGCCUGAAGACCUUCCCUAAACAACAAAGGCGACCGAGAUUGAGUGAGCUGAUGGCCGCGAGGCAUACAACCUCCCACACACACCCAUAAACCGAGGUCGGUGGAAUGCCCAACCACAAGUUAGCCCGGUUAAAAAGGUCUGGAAACUCUAGUUCGUUCGCCUUGUGACCAGUGAAGUUAGUACGGCCUGGCCGAGUUCCUAGGGGCGCUGCACUCGACCCGUUCGGGGUCCACUGUAACAAUCGCAUUCACCAUCACAGAACAUUAGAAACGUAAAAGUCAGCUAUCACAAAACUUCGUUGUCCAAGACAGUUUGAGUUAGCACUGGCUACGUGGUCAACUCUAUUGAAGCGUAAUAACAUAUCGGUAUCAACGCAUAUCUAUUGCAGGAGAACCACAUCGCUCCAUCUCUCGGAAAGAGACUAUCGUCGCAAGCUCCGCAGAUGUCUAUCGCGAAGCGAACCAUUCUACAAAGUAAGAUCCGUAAUACAGUUAAAUAGGCUUUAGGUUCCGAAUAUGCAUCGUGACAGCCAACACAACGCACAUCCGUGUGAGCACAAAAAGGGCCAUAAAUGUUUUAACCUUCGCGAUAAUAAAUUGGUGAUAUGUUCAUCUACUUGGAUAAAUGAAGUAAACAAGAAGUCCUAUAUGAAUCGUAACAAGGACAAUAACUGUUUCAGCAUCAAAGAAUACUCCGAGGACAAAACCAAAGUAUUACAACUUAAAAGUAUGUUACACCUGUGAUACAUUCAUCGCUUAGGAAAGGGAAGCCGUAACCCUUAGCAAAGGCAGCUCGUACAAAUCUCUGGACGUACAAUCAGUCCGAUUCCCAGGCCUUAUGAGGUCCUAUGGCAAGGUCAAAAGCCAAAGUCGCAUCGUAAAUCGUUACACAGUUGCUCCCUUCUGUGUCCAUACAUUUCAUUCAGUAAAGAUGGCCGCUAUUGCGAAGUCCGCUGUGCGCAGCUCUGUGCGCCCGACUGUUGCCAGCCGGGUGAGUCGAGAUGCCUUUGGAACGUAGCAUCUUCAUUAGUCUUCCAAAUAUGAAGCUACUUUAGUCAAUCUUAGUAACCCGAUGUUCAUAUCCGAGAACUCGGGGUCGCUUCAGUAAUCCUACAGCUCUCGGAGUGCCUCGACUUUAACUGGGGAUCUGAUCUCUUUGACCCGUUCAGGCUGCCCGCGUGGUGCAACGUGCCGCUAUCGAGUGGUAUGGCCCUGACCGCCCGAAGUUCCUGGGUAAGUUUUCGCACAACCGAUGGUGCAGCGCAUCAAUUUAUGAUAGAAGUUUCUUCGUUCCAUAGUGACAAAUUAAUAGCUUAUGCUUUUCCUUAUGUAAUAUCCUGGUGUUCCUUUGUUAUCCUCAUGUAUUCCAAAGAUUUGUUGUUGGUCAUAACCGACCCGAUCCACUCUGAUGUAGAGAUAUUAUGACUUGGAUAUGCGCCUUAUUACCUGUACUUGUUUGACUCGGUGCAGGCCCGUUCUCUGAGGGCGAUGUUCCGUCUUACCUCACCGGCGAGUUCCCUGGCGACUACGGCUGGGACACUGCUGGUCUGUCCGCCGACCCGGAGACCUUCAAGCGCUACCGUGAGCUGGAGCUCAUCCAUGCUCGUUGGGCUAUGCUUGGCGCUCUGGGCUGUGUGACCCCCGAGCUGCUGUCCAAGUACGCUGGCGUUUCGUUCGGCGAGGCUGUCUGGUUCAAGGCUGGUGCUCAGAUCUUCGCUGAGGGCGGCCUGAACUACCUGGGCAACGAGAACCUGGUUCACGCUCAGUCCAUUAUUGCCACCCUGGCUUUCCAGGUGAAUAUGUUUCUUUUAAUCACUCUACCGUUUCAUGAGCAUGAAGAGUUUGAUGUAUAAGUAGCGAAUAAUAUGCGCAGCAUCGAUUUGCUCCGUUAUGCUUUCGGGUUUUGCGUACAUUGUCUAAGAAAAUGAUGGAAGCAUGGAUUAAGGUCAGAUUUGGGUAAUAACUUUAUUUGUCUUUUCCCUGCUGCUUUUCUACAGGUCGUGGUGAUGGGCCUGGCUGAGGCCUACCGUGCCAACGGCGGCCCGCUGGGUGAGGGCCUGGACCCCCUGCACCCCGGUGGCGCCUUCGACCCGCUGGGCCUGGCUGACGACCCGGACACCUUCGCUGAGCUCAAGGUCAAGGAGAUCAAGAACGGCCGCCUGGCCAUGUUCUCCAUGUUCGGCUUCUUCGUGCAGGCCAUCGUGACCGGCAAGGGCCCGAUUGAGAACCUGUCUGACCACCUGGCUAACCCCAGCGCCGUCAACGCCUUCGCCUACGCCACCAAGUUCACUCCUUCCGCGUAAACUAAGUCAGCUUUUUGCUUGGGCUGGUGUAUAUUAGCGUUGGAGCUGCUAUCGUCGGUGUAUGCCUGCGAAUUAACGUGCGACGGAGUUGGUAUAGGAGGUCGGAUUUUGCCGUGUUACAAAUUGAGAAGAGUAAUAUGUAAGGGAGACUAAUUAUCUAAGUAUAUUUGCCAGUAUCAUGAAAAUCAGUUGCACGCUAGAUCUUUCCCCACGAACGGGUGGGCAAGUCAACGAAUAUCUACCACUUCUACCACCGCCCGGAACCAACCGCCGCCGCCAACAGGUAGAACAAUGGAACGUGCACAUGUGCCUAUGAAAGAUUAAGUCCGUCAUUUUUAGCCAUUGUGCAGAAAAGUCUAAACUGACAAUAUAUAUAACUGCAAGCUAUAUGCCCUUGUAGACGUUGCUGGUAAGAAGUAAUGAUGCGCAACUAUUCAAAUGAUGAUGGGUAACCUGAGUCAACAUCUGGUGCAUACGUAGAUCUCGACUUAACAGGUAAUGCAUCAGUAAUCAGAAGGACGAUUGCUACGCUGUUCGAUGGAAUCAAUUGUUCUUAACGAUUGUUGAGAAGAUCGUUUUAACCUCACGACCGGUAUUCCAUCGAACACCAUCCACAACAGAGGUUGGCAAAUCGGUUUCUCCAGCUGCGGGGGGGGGCAUAAUUUCGGUCAGUACACCUGAAACAACUCCAAAGAAAAACACAGAGUUCUACGAGACGCAAUAGAGGCUGCAAAUUACGUCUUUUGGUCAAAUUUUGGUCAUUAGGGACUCGCAGCCGGGGCCUUAAGCCGAAUUUUCGCUGCGGGUAUUGUGGUACGGACCCGCAGUACCCGCCUUAUUUGCCGACCUCUGAUCCACAAACCUUUCAAAUUACCCCCGGUUGAAUUCGUUCGAGUAUAACAAAGAAUAUUUACAUGCAUUCUUACACUGUAAUCAUUAAGAUUAAAAACGCGCAAUUUUGGAUCUUUCCUUCUCGCUUCCUCUUCAACUAUGCGUACCGCCCAAAACGCCUCUGCACGCUCCUCCUGUCAUUCACAAUCAACUCAUGCUACUCGCCCAGCCUGACUCAUCACCAAGCCUUUACGCGUAGCCAGCGGGAGGCUCCCACUGCGUUACACCGGUGGCCCCAUUGUAAUAGUACGGGCGACCCUCGGCUGUGUAAUGCACCUGCCAGGCCCCAGGCGCCGGCGGGGCGACCUACGCAUGUGAAGGAAGGGAACCAAAACAGUCGACAUAUUAUCACCCUGGCUUCUGCUCGGGCGCGCUUAACACUGCAAUCGAGCGUUGGCUUGACGCGACCUCCAAUCUAUUAUGUAGCGGCAUAACCAUUCCAAGUAAACAACCUAACAUCACGAAAAAGCAGUCAAAAGCCAAGACACUCUUACCUGCUGGGGCUGCUGCUGCUGGGCAGGCAUGGCGGGUUGCUGGAAGUAGGUGGGAUAGGCUGGUUGUUGCGGGGGAACCUGGUCAAUGAGGGACACAGCUGCUUGCUGCUGCUGCGAAUAUCCGUACUGCUGUGCACCAUACGCGCUGGCGCCAUUGGGUGGCGCUUGCUGCUGCACAGGCAUCGACACCGGAGCAUAGGAGUGCCGCUGCUGCUGCUGCCCGUAACUGGACUGGGACGAAACACCGCCGCCUCCACCUCCGUAGUUCAGAUCCAGAUCGCUGGUUAGGGCUUGCGCACCGGCAAUGCCAGCCAUUCCUGCGUGCGGUAACGUCGGUACCCAUGACAUGAGUAGUGCUGAUCCAGGGCCCCCACGGAAAGUCCUCAAGAGUCCCGAGCGACCCAACGACCCAAUGUUGUGACCCGAAAACUGCAGCAAGCAGGCGGCGGCACAAGUACUGCAGCGAGCAAGCAGCGAACUAGCGCUCACUGUGGCCCAGAUUACCACAGUGAAGGAGAAAGAAACUGGGGACUCCGCGGCACACGAAUGCUUUCGACCUUCCUGAGUACCGAGUACCCCGAGUCCUUCCCAAAUUUCAACCUUCCUGAGUACCGAGUACCGAAUCGAUGCAACAAGCAUGGGGUCAAAACGGAUGGAGGGCCUCGAGACGAAAUAUCCGAAACAUCAAUCAUCAGGGCCGAUGGAACCCUGCCUUGGCCUGCACGCCGGAGAAACCGUCUCCUCCUCGCCAAGUUCUUCCGAUUCGAAUGGGACGGGCUCCGUCGCCCUCCGGUUUAAUGCUUGAUACCUUUGCUUGGUUCUCUCUGCAAAGUUCACGCCCCCUGUACUCCUUCCUUUCCGCACCUUCCACCGUUCACAGUACCCAUUUCCCGACACCUACCCGCACACACGUCCAGCACCCCGUAUUCCCCCCGUCGCCCUUCCUCUGUACGCGGCUUGCGCGGCAAGGCUGUCACAAUACCUUGUAUUGGCGUGUAGCCACUGCUGUAUUGCCUGUUGAGCACAGCGUAUGGUGACGUGUCCCGGUAUGUGUCCCGAUAGCCCCCGCUGCCGCCCCCGCCACCACCACCACCGCCGCCGCUGCUGCUGGGCACGUCGUCGUACCCCACCACGUUAACGAGCGUGUUCCCAAGGUUUCUGUUAUACCCGGCACCGCCGCUGCCGCCGACGCCACCAGUGCCCCCGCUGCUCUCAAAGUUCUUUUCCAGCUGUCGGAGCCACUCGGAGGGGUUCUUGGGCUGCUGCGCCUUAGCCUGGGGGGCAGGCGGUUCAUCCUCAACGCCCGCGAUGUGCUUGCAAAUCUUCUGCAUGGCGCCCUCCAUCGCAGAGACCCACUCAACCACCUCAGUUUCACUGCCUGCGAUGUAGCAGACGGUUCCGCCGCUAGUUGUUUUAAGCUGGAUGGUGUUAGCGCGGCCGGGGAGGACCUUGACAUCCUGGACUUUGCUAAGAUCAACCACGCCACGUGGCUUGGUGGCCUCGGUAACCUUGUCGUUAUAAAAGCGGAAGAGGUAGCCCUGCUUCAACACAAACCAGCGGUUCCGCCAGUUCUUCAGGUGGUCGCCUUGCGACUGUAGCCAGCCAGCCUUAUCCGGGCUACGCCAGUACUCAACCUCGUCAGCGGAUGGAAGCUGGGGGAAGUUGUAAAUCGGAGGAAGGAGAUUGCGCGCGGUUUAGGGGCAGAUGUGAGGGGCAAACAUGGGUACGAGCGGAAAGGAGCUGCGCACCCAUCAAUUCUCAGCGGGUGCUUCAGGGACUUUCAACGCUGUCUUGAUGGAAGUGCUGCUGAUUUAACAGCGACUGCUGCGCCAUGUGGCUUGGGGUUGGCCCGAGACAUACCGCUCCGCUCAAACGGAAACCCCUCCGCAAUCCACCCACCUGCGUCUUUUUUUUGCCACCCCCAACCACCAGCGCGUGCAGAUUAUUGGCCGUCUCCUGCGCAGUUUCUGUUUGCCUGCUUUGCAGAAGCUCCGCGAGCCUGCAGCAAGGCUCCAGUUGAGGUUUGGACGGAACGCCAGCACGCCACUGCCAUAGGGACAUGGCAUCGACUCACUGCAUGCAGCAGCAGGUCAACGUAUCCAGCGCACUCCGGACAGUAUUGUCAUCUGCGGAAAGGGUUGUUUGCCGUUCCUCCACAUCCACAGGAGUCCUUGUAUAUAUUAUUAAGCUACCACCGCGGGACUGCCAUCGACUAAUGUGACUGAGGUCGUAAGCGCGCAUCGUCCGGUUGUCGGAGGCAUUCAAUAACUUCAAGCCGUCCAGGCCUAUCUGGACAACAACACGCUCGUUUUGUCCUUCAUGACUGACUAGAUUCAUGCGAAACUUUUCGCUUGUUCCCUUAAAGUCCGAAGCCAUUUUGACGUUCGAUUUCAGGUACACCGAGCUUAGGUAUACAAAGGAAGAAUGCUUACUUCGUUUUUUAUGACACUUCGUCUGAUGAAAAUCCUCGUUCCUGAGAGGCUGAUUUCUAACUCAAGACCCUGGAGGUAGGUACGUCUCGUCAUGCACGUUCCGGAGAGGCGUAUUUCCCCAAAGCUUACCCUUUGCAACACGUUUGUUAGGAUGCUUUACAUGGUGCUAUAAACAUCAUCAUGGAAAUCUGCGCAAGCCUGGUAUAGCCCCUGCCGCGCUAUUGGUUCAGGAAGAAACAGUCUAUUAAGGUCAUAUGAGGUAUAAAAAUUAUGUCGAGAUGAAAAAACGCUCCGUGCGUUCGCCAAAAACAGCAUCCCAGGCACUCGGCACCUGCAGACCUACGGGACGCUCCAUAAGGACAACCUGCCACGACCGCACCCAACGCCACAAGCUGAAGCCCUUAUACCCAUGCGCUGCCACCACCAAAUCCCGGCUAUGUGGUAAGCUCAUCAUUGCCAGUGCCUCUAUGGACAACAACAGGCGGGUUCAAGUCGUCAUAGCCACCGAAGCAACAAAAGCUGCCGCACUAAAGCAGCCUGACUCCGAAGCGCCAAGAAGGUAUGUACACACUUCAUGGCGCACACGCAGCACUCAUCCUCGAUUCCAGUUGUCGUCAAACCAACUCUUACUGUCCGGAAAAUGCAGAGCGCGCAAUGUACCAGCAAACACAAGAUCGCUCUCCAACAGUAAAGCUAGUGAGCACAAACGCCAACCAUUCCUGGCCCCCUUUGUAUCCCCUGAUCCGGGUUUCGGAGCUUCUAAGGCCAGGCCACGAUAUCCGCAGUUUCAAGCGUACAAGCCAACACACACACGCGUCGCAGUUGCAUGGUAUCACACAUUGUCGGUCACAUCGGAAGCCCUUAAUGAUGCACACAUACACAGUAAACAAAGAACUCGGCGAGUGGCAACCGCGCUACCCGCCCAAGUGCAGGAGUCACGCAAACAUACAUACGCACAGGCACGCAUACUCUUCGCUACGACGGCCCGGCGCUUGCGAAGGUCAGCGCCCCGACGACGACGACGACCUCUCGACCCGUAACAGAAACCAGCCAGCUAGGACCCCCAGGCAGCCUAAGUUUCAGAGGCUUAACCAGCCAGCGCCGCUGUGCUCGGCUAAGGCCCCUUCAGCCUUGUUCGCACUGUCCGCCAGUGCUCCCCCCUUCCCUCCCCUUUCCCUGCCUUCUCUCCUGUCCGUACAGGUCUGAAUUGGGAUAGGCCCCUGCCAAGCAGCGCACCCUCCUGGCGCCGGGGCCUAGAUCAGUGUCGCCGACUUCCGGGCCCAACUCGACAUUGGCGGUGGUUGCCGCGAUGUUGGUGUCCAGGGCGAUACGUCGACAGCCGCCAUCCCAGCUACCCGUGACACGUCCUUGCAGUCCGCCCACCACCACCCGCCGCAACCACCGAUCAAUAACAAACAAUCCGUUGGAACAAUCCGUUCCACUGGCGGCCCCGUACAAGGCCGGACACAGUGCAGGUGGAACCCUCGCGACAUUCGGUUUCAGCAGCACCCGUUCGUGACACAACUCUACAGUCAUACCUACAAUCUCUGCAAUUCGAGAAAUAUACAUACAUAAGAGUACAGCAUUAAGAGAGAGUCCAGGGGAACUGUCCCGUCGCCCACCACUGCGAGAGUGAACAGCGCAGUCAACCAUGUAAACGCGUUUGGCUCGGCGGUUUUUCACACACCAACACACUGACUGAUAGUUGGGACGUAUAGCCCCCACUGCCGCAUAUCAGCAGACACGUGCUUCACGGCACGGACCAACGCACGGGGCAGCGUACCCAGGAACGAGGUUUGGGUUACGAACAGCUGAGGGCCCUGAUGCCGAAUUACGGAGCAGCGGGCACCGCAGACAUCGCCCGGCAUCGCGGACACCACGGCCCCCUGCGUCCAUAUAUCACGUACCAUUCGCAUGUUGCACAUUGCCACCACCCCCACUGCCCUACCCGGACCGCCCGCUGACCAAGAGCCCCAACGAACGCGCCAGCGGCCCCAGCGCCUUUACCCACUGACCUGGGUCCGACCUCGUACAGUGCUGCGUAGAGGCAAUGCCGCCUCGUUGAUCCUACCCCCCCCCCUCUCCCCUUCCCCAACUCCAGUCGCAUCAGAUGUUAAGUAGCUGGCCCAGCAACCCCGCUUGCUCCGUAACCUCCGGGUCCGCCCGGCGAGCCUCCUCGUCCAUAUCUUGGAACAGGGUACGGAACUGGUGCAGGUGGAGCUUGGCAUUGUCGUAUUGCUUUUGGUUGUACAGCAGGAUGGCUGCGUACGGAAGGACGAACGAGAGAGGAAAACGAGAGCGAGGGCCGUUAGUGAGGGUUCGAACCUGUGCACGAGAUUUAGGUCCCGCACCCGCAGAGCUUUUCCCUUUAGCUCCCCUCCCCCUCCCUUCCCUGCUCCUCUCACCCCUUCCCUUGCUUACCCUCAAAUCCCCUUCCAUUCCUCAGCCUCCAUCUGUGUCAAUCACCUCCCUCCCCCUUCGCCCCGCUUCCCUUUCCCCCCUCCCACCCCACCGUAAUUGAGGUGGAAAACGGGCUCCCCCGGUUGUCCCGCCAUCUGAAUGGCCUUCUCGUAAGCCGCACACGCGUUCUCAAAGUCGUCCAGUCGCGCCAACGUGACUGCCAGGUACAUGUACGAGUGCGCAAAAUCGGGCUUGAGGUUGACUGACGCGGAGAAGUAGUGGAAGGCGGAGGCGUACUGGCCCGUGUGCAGGUGCACCAGGCCCAGGUUGUACGAGAUGAUCCACUCGAACGGACCCAGGUACAGGGCCUUUUUCAGACAGGCGAUGGCGGCGAUAUAGCGCUGGGAGGGGCCCCCGGGUGGGCGUGCGAACACGAAUAGGGAAGGGGCAGCGGCAGGGAAGGGAAGGGGAUGGAGAUGGGAGGAAGGUAGGAGUCGAGGGGGGAGGGGAAGAAAGCGCCGGAUGUGGCAUGUGAUGGGGGUGUAUUCUUUCCCAGGUGUGUUCUCCCCAUUAGCCCUGGCCCGCCCCUCACGUGCCAUGACACCAUGCGGCAGUCCCGGGUUCUCCUGCCUCCCCUCUCUUGCUACUCCUUGGCAUGGCCUGCUUUGCCUUUCGUCGAUCAUUUUGCAAUACACAGCAUCCCUCGUUGCGGCCCAUCCUGCCUUCCGCGCGCCCACCCACUCCUCCAGCUAGCCACCCACCUGCUUUCCAAAGAAGCACAUUCCUAUGUUGUUCCACAGCUGGGGGCUGUUGGGGGUCUGCACCGCCGCCACGCGGUACUUCACCAGCGCCACAUCCAUGUCGGAGUGGUCCUUUGUAAACAGGUUUGGGGAAGAAAGGAAGGAGAGGGAAGGGGAGGAGGGAGGGACGUAUAAAACUUCCAGGGGGAAGAGUGGGGCGCAUUGGAGGAAAGAUAGGAAAGAAGCCGUACACCUUGUAUAAGAGCAAGGGGGUGCGAGGGUGAAGGUCGAAGGCCCCACAGCCCCGCCUACGUAGGCUGCACAUCCAAGCUUACUGACCACUCUUCCCAUCCUCACAACCCCUACCUGUAUGAUGGACCCAGCCGCCAGGAUGGUCCUAGGGUUGCGGGGGUCAUGAGUGAGGGAUGUGCUCAGGUAGUCGAACGCCCGGUUGUUGUCGCAGGUCCUGGGCGGGCCGGGGAGGGGAGAAGGCGGGCCGCACGUGCGAGGCAGACGAGGGAGGGGAAUGGAAAGGGUAACCCUAAGCCGGUGUGGCCGUAUUGCAGGGAGCGAAAAGACGUGUCGUGGGACGUGCUGUGUAGGCCUGCAAGCUGUUGCAUGAAAGGCAGGGCCGGAAAGCUCGGCCGCCCCGCAGCGGUGGUUGGUGUCUUCCUCACCGCACCGGGAGGACGACACCCACCCGGCGGCCCCAACACCAUGUGGUGGGAGAUUUGGUGGUGAUGAGGAUAAACUUCUUGUUUUACGAUAUGGCCGAUUGCAUCGGGGCAUCGCCCCUCCGUUCGCCCGGGUACGUUAGCUCCAUUUUCCCCUCCGUCUCCGCCCAGGCCACCUAGGCUUCCCCUGGUCCUCACCUCUUGCACGCACAUACGGUCUAUUUACGUCAUUUUCACAACGUUCGCACAACUACAGUCUAGAUUCGGUAGCUGCACUGAUUAUUUACACCCCGCUGCUGCGAGACACUGUUAUCAAAUGUCAAACAGAUGACGGUUACCUGCACACAUCCCCGAAGCCGGUAAUUCCCCUCCCCUGGUGGGAGGAACGUUUCCGGAACACCGAACAGUUGCUUCCUUGCGUUGGGCUUUCGGCGCUUACUGCCUAGCGAUUUGCAUGUACCCUUCCCCUCUCCGCCCGAGCGCUCGCACCCCCUUCCGGUCCUGGUCUCUCCCUCCUGAUGGUUCCUCCUGGUCAGCUCCCUUCCCCCCCCCUCAUACCUGAGGAACAGCAGCCCCAGCGUGGUGAGCACCUCCGGGUUCUCAGGGGAGUGCUCCAGAGCCUCCAUGUAUACAUUGAUGGCCUGGUUGGGAAAUGAGGUUGGAGCGAGGGAGAAAAGGGGGAGGGGAAUGAUAAGGCAAGGCGGGGUAGUAGCAUGAGUAGGAAAGGGAGAGGCUCGCCAAUCCAGAUGCGACCGGAGGGCAACACAGUUCCCCAGUAGUCUUCGUGGACGCACCUGCGUGAAGUCGUCCAUCAUGCUGUACACCUUGCCCAGCUGCAGAAAGGUGGAGUCAUGGGGCUGGAUGUCAAUGGCGAUGCGGAAUGAUUCGAUGGCCCUGAGAACGGCAGGUAGAGAAGGAGGGAGCGGCGCAGGGAGGACGUGUUCAAUUUAAAAACUGAGCCGCGAUGUACGUAUGUACGUAUGUGUAUUAAAGGGUUCAUGGGUUGGGAUCAUCCCGGGAAGAACGGAGUGAACGGUAUUGUACACACACACACACCACUUCGUCUCAUAAACGUACCUGUCAUAUUGUUUUAAGUACAUGUAGCAUAGCCCUUUGUUGUGCAUGAUCUCCCAGUCGGGUGCCCCAAACUUCUGGGCCUCCUCGUACACGUCCACAGCGGCCUUAUGCUUGCCUAGCAGGUACAGAGAGCGACCCACCUGGGGGCGGGGGGUUGUGAGGGGGGUUGUGAGGGGAGUUGUGAGGGGGGUUGUGAGGGGAUAGGUGGGUGGGGAUGGGAAGAAGUGGGGAGCAAUGUGCGAUGCGAUGAGGCGGUAAUCACGAGGAGGAAGCAACAGCAGCUGCUGCUGUCUGUUGUCCAGAGAGCCAGGGAGGGCCGGCCAUGACAAACCACCUGCCCAGUCCGGCCCUGCUCAACCCGACAUUCCCUUGCCUCGUUAUCUCCCCCGUAUCUCCCCCCUCCCCUGUGCCCAAGGUUUCCUUGACACUGUUUCCUUCCUCUCCCUCCUCGCUCACGUCCCUGUCCCCCCCAUCCUAUCCUACCCCGCCCGGGCCCCGCGUAGUGUCCUGGCGCACCUGCUUGAGGUUGGCCGUGUUGUGCGGGUUGAUGGCGGUGGCCUGCUGGAACAGCUGCAAGGACUCCUGAAUUUUGCCUGCAAGGAUGUGCGCCAGGGUACGCAUGUGCAUGUGUACGUCUGGUCCUCAACUUUUAUCCCAUCCUGAUCCGCCCCACUACCCGCGUCCAACCGCACGGGUCAGCUGCAGGUUCAACCAUCAGCUUUGAGAUUAUCCUCUCCGGCCUUAUGAACAUGAACCACACCUCAACCAGUUCAGGCCCCUCCCUGGCCCUGGGGGCUACUACCAAUUCCUUACUCCCAAAGGCCCCAGGUGUACAGACAAACCAACCCAGCAGAUUUUUCCUCUCCGAGCAAUAGGCGGCUAGCGGUACUAGCCAACUGUGCUGGUACUAACCACCAGCUGGUGCCGGUGGGUUGUAAGUGGCCGCGACGUGGGCACUGGGUUCUCGCUUCCGCGACCCAAGCAAACAGGUAGUGCAAUGAAACUGUCUUCGAUCCCCCAAGAAGAAGAAAAUCCAAAGGGCUAGGUGUCUAUGUGCGCCGAUUGGCUCACCUGGACACGGUGGCCUGCCUGCCAUACGGUACCCCUUCGCGACCCACCUCUAUGUCGCAUGAUGAGAGCUUUGAUGUAGAUUGCGUAUUCACAGAGGCCAUCUGUAUCCUCUAGUAUUUUGUCUAUUUGCUUUAGGCACUCCUCGAACUCCUGUAAGGGUGCUCGGAUUGUUGGCCGCCUAGCUUUGAAGGUCUAGCGAAGCUAAGGGAGCUUAUGUGACCAACCUGUCGAGUAUAUAAUAGGUGUAAUGCAUAGUUGCGCUUGUCGCGCUGCUGUGCAAGCGAUGACAUGAAGAACACAAACCUCCCGCACGAACGUCCUUAAACUGAGUAAUUAAAUGGUUGUUAAGUAGCUAAAAUUCGAGUACAGGGAUGACGAUUACAAUUCCGGCCUGGUCAACUAAGCGAGUGUUCUGAUUAGUACGUAGAUAAGGAAGUAAUUUGUAUGUUAUCGAGUUUAAGAAUAGAUGUAUAAUGCAUAUAUGUUUGUAUAGCGAACAGAAAUCCAUCUUAGACUCUUCGGACGGGCUUGGCACAACGACUUCCGUCCAACUGACGUCAUGCGCUGCGUGCUCAGUGCGCAUGCUUUUCACUAAAUCCGUCUUCAUAUUUGUAUGUAGCAACAAUAACUUUAAGGGAGCUUGACCCAUAGGCCGUGCAGAACUGCAAACUGGUCAACAAAACGCCCCGUCACAAGCUGCACAUCCGGCGCGCAUUGGAGCUCCUCUCAGCAAAAAAUCACCAACACCUGACCUUAAACUUAUAAAACACUGUCCAGCACUACACGACUUUCGGAUAGCAAUGAUAGUCUUGGACCCUCGGGUCAACGCGACGUCCGCAUUGGGUCCGGAUCCUAUGCCAACCGCGCCUGCACCGUUCAUGCUACUACAAGACUUGCAUUGGAUUUGUCGCAUAGAGAUCUGCACCCUUCUGCUCUGGCUCUGCACCAUCUGGACGCACCAAGCGGUGCUACCGCGGACCCCGGGUUGGCGGCGGAUGGCUGUCGCCACACCCGCGGUUGCGGCCCUCAUAGCCUCUCCCUUCCUCUUCCACCCUAUCAAUGAGCCCAUCCUAUCCAUGAUGGUGACCUUCAUGAGUGUGCGAAUGCCCCUCACCAAGCUCCUGGCGGCGUGCUACGCCCGGGGGCCCUUAGUAGCGCUACCGCCGCCGCGCAACAAGCCGGUCACGGCGAAGGUGGCCAAAUGGCUGAGACAGUCGCAGCUCCUCCGACGAUGGUGGCCUAAAACUCCAAUGAGAUCGUCGCGUGCCGCCGCAACAUCAGCAGAAGCAGCGGCAACAGCUGGCUGCGGGAUAAAUGGACAUUCCGACGACGACAAGGCCAACAAAACCGUUCCUAUGGCUGCCGAGGUACCUGAUCUUGCGCUUGUCACAUUCUUCAUGCUGAGCCCUGUCGUACCUCGGCCCUGCCGUACGGAUGCCCGCUAUGGUGGAGGCGGUGACAACACCUGCCCUCUGCGUCGUGAACACAGCAGCACAUACAGUGCGCGUGGCGACUGCCGCCGCCUGCUUCGUGAGCUCGCUGGCAAGUGGCUUGCCUUCGCUUCUGCCUGCGCACUUGCGGUGAUGUACGGCAGGACAGCGCCGCUGGCGCUGCAUGCCGCGCUGGCAUACGGCAUGCUAGCGAUUAUGGGCGGCAUGAUGGACCUGACGGCUCUGUAUUGCACCACGAUAUGGGGAGUGGACCUCGUGCCUCCCUUCCACAACCCUUUCCAGGCGACAUCGCUGUCAGGUGGGCCGUGUGCGCGCAGGUGCAAUUGCACGAGCUCGACCGAGGGCUGAAGCGCAUUGCAUCGCGUCCCGUAGCGCGGCGCGGCGCACUAUGAUGAAUUGCAUGGGAGUUCUGCCGUGUUCCGAACCCCACCGUACUGUGCCGUACCGCGCGCAGAUUUUUGGGCUCGUCGCUGGAACGUUACGCAGAGCCGUGUGCUGAAGGGUUUACUGUACGACCCCAUAGUGGAAGGGCGGCUCGUACCGAGCGGUAAUGCCGCCGUCAUUGGGAAUGCCCGCUGUGGCGGUGGCGGUGGCGGCGGCUGCGGGGGUGCUGUCGGCAAUGUGGUCGUCGUGGACAGCUGCUCUGGCGGUGACGCCGCCCUACCGGGUGAAGUUGCUUCACAGCACCCGCACCUCCGCCAGCGCCGCCACUCCUCGGCCUCCGCCGCACCGCAACAGCAGCAGCAGCAGCAGCAGCACGACAUGUCCUUGCGCGCCCCGACCCUCGUCCCCAUCACCGCCGCAGCCGCAGCCCCACCGGCCCGCAGCGUGAACCCGGCCGACGGUGCCAGCACAGCCUCACGCGUGACUGACAACGGCAAUAUCAACGGUGACGAUCCCGACGCCACCUUUAGCGGCAGCUUUGCCGCCGGUGCCGACAAUGACAGCGAUGGCGAUCGUGCCCUGGCAAGCUGUAGAGGAGCGACUGCGUCCACCGAUGGCGGGGCGGCAGCGGGUGACUGGGCUCCCGGACGCGACGUCGAAGGCAGCGAUCCCGACGGUCAGAGGGCGCCCGCUCCCCGCGUCAUGGCCGCCCUGGCUAGUGUGGAUGCAGGCAAACGCUGGACACGGCGAGGCGCAGCCACCGCAGCUGCAGUAGUGCGCGGUCACGGCAAAGGCAGCGAGGGCGACGGUGGCGAGAGUGCUGCAUCGUGCAGCUUCUUCGGUGGCGCUGCCGACAUGGCCGCGAUGUCGGCCACGGUAGCCGCGGCUGCCGGGGCCGCGAGGGCGGUCCUGAGCAAUACACGGACACGGCGGGCAGUGGCCCUUCUGGCAGUGUUUAUCUUUAGCGGCAUCGAGCACGAGGUGCGGUUCCCUGCGCUGUCGGGGGGGGGGGAAGGUGCCCUGAAGUAUACGGCAUGAAGCGAGGAGGGCUCCAGGACAGUACGGACAGAGUACGGAUAGGGGUUUAUUCUUAGUACCUUGGCUUGAGUGUGCUCUUUUCGAACCUUUAGUUUCCAUUUAAAAGCCUUGAACUGAUCUUUAGACGGCGCAAUCCAGCAAUCCAUACCACCCGACACAUUACAAAACGCUUUCCUCCGUAAAGCUGCAGAAGACAUCCCGCGAAAGGGAAUCACCCGCUAGCCUCAGCGUGCACCCGCUUUCCGUUGCUUUACCGCUUCCUCCCGACCUCCCGACCUCACUGGCCCACCCCGGACCCGCACAUGAACAUCAAGAUCUUCCACUGGUAUGUUCAACGCUUUUUCAGCGGUCAAUGGCUCACUUUCUUUGCCGUACACGGUGUACUGCUGGUGGCGGAGGAGGCGCUGCGCCAGGCUGCUGCUCGCGGCGGUACGGCGGCGGCGCGGGCGCCACGACCGGCCCCCGACAAGGCCGCCGAGGGCAUCGUCACUGCCGUUGGGACAGGCAUGUGGCGUACGGCGGCUUCGCUGGCUGCCGCAGCGGCCCGCCUGCCGCCCUGGGUUUCGCGGCUGCUUACCUUGGCGGUUUUGGAGCUGACUGCGACCUGGUGGUUCUUCGAUGUGCUGCUGGAGCCGGGGAUAGUGGCACGGACCGUGGGGUCGUUAAAGGGAAUGAUGCUGCUCAUCAUCCCGGCGGCCGAGCGCUGAGGGAGGCUCGAGGCAUCGUCCGGAGACGUACAUACCGGGCGGCGGAGGGAGCUCUUGCGGGGCAGGGGGGGGGUUAGCGAUACACCCCGCGCAUUGAGGGUUCGUUUGGGCCGUGCUGGCGGGGUACGGCCCAGAUAGGGUAAGGGGAGGUAAGGGGAGGGAGGGAGCCACCGGCAGGUAUGGGAUGUUAAACAAGACACCCCACAUGGCAGGUAGGGACGUGGGAGAGGACCGCGGCACGGGAGGGGGAGGAGCGCAUGUGUGACAAUUGCGGCGGUGGGGGCCCGGCGGUGUGGCUUGACAAACGAACUGAGGGUUCCGAACUUGCCACCUACUUUGCUUUGCGGCGCGUGACUGUGUCGUGGUGAGGAGCAACUGCUGAAGCCAUCGCCCCAUGUUUUAUAUAGAUAUCAUGUGUGUGUACGUCUAUAUAUAUGUGUGCGUGUAUGUACGUCUAUACAACUGAGCCGCGAGGAGAAGAAACCAGCGGCAAAGGCGGCGCGGCAGGUUGAGAUCCAGCGUACACAAACGGCGUCAAUGCUAAUGUUGACGAGGCUGGCAUUACAACGGCAUUACAAGACUACAUCAGGUCUCAGUUCUUGACAAGUAGGAUGGUACAGCAGCUAGCCGUACCCAGAUGACGUGGGACAGGGUGGGGAUGCUUGUAUGUAACCACGUAUGUAAAUUUGUAUGUAGGUAGGUACUGGCGAUAUGAAUCAUUUUCCACGUGGGCUUAGACCCCCCUUUGAAACGGACAGGAGAUUAAGUAUUCCAGCUCCGAGCCGCACGUCGAGGGUUGGCAUGCUCCUGUUUUCGCGCCUCCAAAGUUGGUGUACGGGUCCAAACCGAUGGCUGCCCUGUUGCGUUGACAAUAUGACGAUAGCCUUGUCACGAUGGGCAUAUCCGAAGUGGAAGGCCAAUAUGUAUGGGCUUGUAUGGGAGGCCGGAUAUGCCACAAACACAACGUGCGACAAAUUUGUACUACACAUGAAAUGCAGGUCUGCAAGAACGAAGCUUCAUGCAUGAAACGUUGUAGAUGCAUGCGACCCCCCGGGAAUUGACAACGUGCGAGGCCUUGUAUCGUUGUACGACAUAUCAGUCACCACGGUGUCGCGAUUUCUUAGUCAUCCUCAGCGCGAUGGCUCGAAGCUCGGCGGCCGCAUACACACCACGUAGCCCCCCUCGCCCAUAUAAAAGCACUCCGCACAUUUCAGCCCGGAACGUAUGUGCCACCACGAGGCGCCUCGCGCGAGUUGCCACAUCUCCGCUUACAGAAGGGACGACCGGCCCGCCCCGCUUGUUGCAAUCCCCCCCCCCAAAGCGGUUUACUGCCCCGGGGACCGCGUGGGCGGGCAACGGGGACCCUAUACACACACGCGGCUCGCAGUACAGGUGCCCUAAUACACCUUGACCCCGGGAUUUACGACUUCACACAUACACACACAUACACAUCUGUACAACACACUCUCAAACUCACUGCAGCCCCAUGUUGCCCAGGCGACAUGGAGCAAAAUGAACUCUUAACUCCCACCAGCACAGUCCAUAUUCCCUUCACUUCUGAUUACGAGCCACAUCAUCCAUCCAUAAUUUGCAUUAAGGCAUGAGCAGCGUUCCUUCCUUCCACAUGCACUCCAGAAACACUCGCCCUCUUUCCUUUCCCCUUUUUCACAUUCCCCCCCACCUCUCUUCUUCAGCAGCUUCAGCCUGACGUCUUAACGUUUGUCUUGAGCAGUUAGCUCCAUUCACACCUCCCCCUCGAGUGCAGACACACAGAACACGACCCACGUUGUUACAGCACACGCAACAAUCAGACCUGCAUAAGAUGAAUAGCCCAGCUGCGGAGCACGCGCCUCCUGUCCUCUUCCCUAACCCGAACGGAGAGAGAGGAUCCGAGGCGCAAGAGGGACGACUGCGUUCGUCACAACGCAAACCCCCAUACACACGCCCCCUGGGUCCACCCUGGAGCCAUCACGCUGGCCGAAAUCCGUUAUCGCCCCACCUGAACAGAACCACCUCCUCGCCCCAGGUGCCGUCGUCACGGCGGUGCCGCUCCCGAACCUCCGAGCUGCCGUCAUGCCACACCACUAUGACCGUCUGGCUGCGGGUGCCGUACAAACCCCACUGGCGGGUCGGGGGUAAGGGCAGGCGGCGGGCGGGCGGGAGGGGAGGUGGGUUGGUGGCGGGGUGCACGCGGUUAGUCCACCUGGCAAGGACGGGGAGUGUGCGGCAGCUUGGGGGCCAGCGGAGGGAUGGAGGGGGAAAGGAGUCGGCAGUUAAGCGGUACGACAAGGCCAAAUGGGAAUACGGAACACAGUCGUACAUACAAUGACAUGCAGAUGCGAUGUAGGCAAAGGGACAGGCAGAUCGAAGAUAGGGAGCGCCAAUUGUUCCGACGUUGCCAAAAAUAAAAAUACGCAAAAAUUAAGGUGCGGCUCAGAUCGUUGAACACACGCACGAUACACCGUCGACAAUCUGUCUUAUAUCAACAUAAAGACACCGACAGCCCAAGACGCUGAUAGAUAUCGCACGGAACGCAAUCCCUUCCGCGCAACCCACCGCGCAACUUCACGCACCUACGGGCCGGUUAGGGCGGCGGCGCAGGACCGGUCAUACCGCAAGCAAGCACUCCCGAGCCGCAGCCGCCCCACCCUCCCUCACAAACCCUAAAACCCUAGCUCCCGAACCACCCCCGCCCCCCACCCUUCCAAGGCCCCACCGGCGACUGUACGGCGGCCACGAACCGCCCGCUGGUGAUGUGCUCAAGCCCCUCCCGCAUCCCAUCCAGGUCGUACGUCUCGAUGGAAGCGGCGCUGUCGCUGUCGCCGCGCCCACACGCAGGGUUCGCCGCUGCCACCGCCGCUCCGGUUCUUUUUGCCUCCUCACCCUUGUCUUGAGGGACGGACUCAUUACCGCGUGCUCGAGCGGUUGUCGUCAAGUGCUCGACGGCGUCAUCUCCUGCAUGCUGUCGCCCUGUCGGGAUAUCGGCAGCCGCCCCUGCCGCGUUCUCAUCACUGCCGCUGGCCGGCCCGGUUCCGGUCGCAGAUGUCUUCAGCGGCACCAACCGCUUGCUGUCUCCGAGGAGCUCCCCAAAGAUGCGGUCGUACGGUACGGGCUCACCUGAAUGCCCCCACGCAUUGGGACAGGAACACACAGCGGUGGACAGCGGGGUGGACCGGGGCUGGGGCUCUGGAGCUUGGCGCCCCAGGGGGCAGUGCCGUCUCAACCGCCCGGCGCCGCAGUCUCAGCAGUAAGGCUUCAACAGCCCAGUUCCCUCCCCCCCAUCGGGCUGCCAGCCUGGCAAUGCUUGUAACCACUUGCUGCUGCUGCUGUUGCUGUUGCUGCUGGUGAGCAGUAGCCGCUCACAGCCUCGCACUGGUCCGUCGCUUUCCCUCUCCCUCCCUCUCUCUCUCUCGUCCAGGUCCCUCUCAACCCAUGGCCUGUCGCCAUAAUGCAUUCUUCUCCCCCUUCUUUCCAUGCCCUACCAUAACCCCGAAAUACUAGAUUACAGCAUUGGCUCAUGAAAGCAAUAAAGUAAGGCCCAGGUCGUUAGUCAGCUCAUUUACUUUACUACAGCUGGUCCCCUCCACUACAGAGAUCCUGUGCCCUGUGCAGCAAAGCUAAGGCCCAGGUCGUCCCAGUCCCAGGCUCGUGACCAGCCAGCCGGAGUCCGUGCGUCCGUCCGUCAGUCAGUCCGUCAGCCAAAGCCCUGGUCCCGCCGCACCUUGGGUCACUCUCGGCAGCAGCUCCUGCAGCGCCCGGAUACCAGAUGUCACUUUAGGCCACUCCAUCAGCCGCCCGUUGCUCAAGCCUGCAUGUAUGCAUGAGCACACAUGUGCACGCACAUAUGUACGCCACAAGAAGGAUCAGGAAGGAUUGAGGGUAAAGGAGGAGUUGGCUCUGGUUUGGACUAUGCCCGUGAGCAAAACCGGGGAGGUUGCCCUGGGAGCCGACUUUGAGCCGGGGACCGUGGGACACCUGUCGACAACGCCGGUUUGCAGGAGCGGCCGGCUGCACACACAUAUGGGGUUUACCGCCCCCGCCCCGACUCGUACCGUAAAUCCGCCCAGGCUCCAAAAGCUCCACCGCCGGGGCCGCGACCGCACCACAGCUGCUACUGCCGCCGCCGCCGCCACUGCUGCUGGUUGCUACGCCGCUAUCGGGGCUGUUGUUGAUGUAGGCGAACGCGCCGACCUGCGAGUCCCCCCCGGUGAGGAGGUGUCCAACUACGAGAUUGAAGCCCUGGUAGUGGUCGCCGGGCACUGACUGGCAGUGCGCAGGGGGGAAAGGGUAAGCAGUACGAGGGGAGUGUUAGAUACCGGAAAGUUGUACGGCGGUUUCGGUGCUGCGUACGACGUGCUGAGGAAAGGCCAGGUAACUCGGGAACCCCAUCCCAGUCUCAAGCCAGGCCGGGAGACCACCCGAGAGAAAGCUAGAGGCUGGAUCUCUUCCAGCAGCAGCAGAAUGCGCAGCAGUACAUGUGCACAGAACAGGAUUACCUGUCAAUACGAUGGCGACAGCGUGCGGUUCGGGUAAAACGGCAAGAAUACCACCCAAAUUCAGCUUCUCCAAUCUCUCCUCCCUAUGCCUUUUGUUCCCAUGCUCCACUGCUGCGGCCGCAAAGCAAGCCUCAGAGGGCUGAGGCAUAGCGGAAGGCUUACAACUGAAACAACACGUCGACCCGGCCGCGCCGCAGCCUGCCCUGGCCCUGAAACCCCCCUGAUGGAUUGCAACAGGGGAAAAGCUUCUUAAUUGCACGAUCUAGCACAGCUGCAGUAAGGCUCCGAAACCAUCAUUCUCACUAUCACCAGCACAACAGGUAGUAUCGGCAUGCAUGGCCAAACCCGCCGGUCCCGUCCUGGUCCCGCUUCCCUGGUCCCGCACCUGCAUGUACUCCUGUGGCGAUGCGCUUCCGGUCAGGAAGUUGGUCACAAGCUCGCCGCGGCUGGCACAGGAGGCUGAGCUGUUAUGACUGGUGGGUUCAAUCGGAUCCAGGCUACGGAGAUUCGUGAGGAAGGCCAGACGACCUGAGCGAACGUUGAUGCCUAACCAGGUCCCCCCGCUGCCCAUGUCGCGGCCGCCGAGGAUGAAGCUGCCAUCCUCCCAGAGGUGCAGAGACUUCGUGGGCCUAGUUGCAAUUUAGUGCGUUAGGAGGGUUUGGCCGAAAAUUGGGGUUACGUUAUGUUGGGAAGCUGUGUGCGGAAUGGUGCUACGGUCCCCGGGACGGAGCCGCGAGGUGUGAAGGCUUCGGCCAGCAAGUUGCAUGGGGGCGUGGGAACGAUGCAUACAUACCUCCUGAAAAACUCGUCUCGAUUGAAGGCAAGUAGCAGCCGGGGCUGAGGAGGGUCACAUCCGAAAACUAGGAACGCUAGACACAUUGGCCGACGUGCAGUUAAAUUACGGAUAUUUAUUUCACAGCAAUUCUUUCCAUUCAAUGCAAUGUUUCCGUUGCAGAUAUUUAUCUUAACCGUUGUCCUGGUCAGUGCGCAGCUUGGAUUUUAGUUUUGUGCGGAGGGCGUCCUUUGGAGCGCUGCACUUGGCCCAAUCGGGAUCAACUGCGACAACUGCAAUUUGGAUUUUAGUUGUAUGAUGAGCAUGCAACGACGAAUGCAACAGUAGUCGCGCUGAAGGCACUAGAGGCAGAGUGUCACGAUACCUUUGGAUGAUGGCGAAUGCGACAUUUGAUCCCUUCAUACAUGACCUACAUCAUCCUAGGGGUCGGAAGUGGGUUCGACGGUACUACCGUGUCAUUCUGCCUAUAGCUGUCGAGCAGUUCAACCUUGCCUGGUGUCUGUCCCACGGAAAACCUGCGUUGACCCGCUUUAACUGAUACUGUAAAAAGGAUAUACUGUAAAAAGGAAAUCGUGGGGAACGGGACGAUGCUCCUUUGUUGUUGCCCACACACCGGCCCAGAGGUAGUAGAUGAAGCGCGCAUUCGCAUCAGCACGGGCCUACCUAAUAGCUAGGAGAAUUAGACGGCGCUGUCAGUGUGCAGGCCUUCGACCUAGAGCGCGAUUGCGUUCCUGAACGGAUAAAAUCUUGCCGAGAGUCCGAAGCGAUAGAAACGCAGUGCUUUCCAUGAACAAUCAACACGCGGCUUGGACAGCUUAUCAGAGUAUCGUACUCGCCUGUUACAUAUAUAAAAAAACAUGCCAGCCCGAUCUGGUCAGGAGGCGCCAGCAGAGGCAUCGCAUUCCGGUCCCUCCCACAAAUCAAACACCCGGCCAUCAUUCCUUGCAUGCACAACCCUCGAGCGUUCAGGCCUAUGCUGCUACCGGUGGCUUAACGGCCAUCCUUGUGCAAGCAUAAAUGUUGAAGCCAUGGGAAACGUGUUGGCCAACCAAAACAGGUGACGGACCCGGCCAAAGACGUUAAGCACCUCAACCUGCUCUCGAAGGCACCACCUCGACAACACCAUCCAUACAGAUGCGGACAACAUGCCGUCCUAAAAUUGUACAAUACCUGCCAAACAGAAGAGCGCGCGUGUCUAAAAUGGCCCAUCGUUACGAGUUGGCAGGCCGCGCUUAAAAAUAGGUUCAUCGUCCUCGUUGCCGAAGGAAAUUCCGUAACCCCUGCUGGCGCCAUAGGCGUUUAGGUAGGUCUCCCCACCAGCGCCAUGGCUGCCGUGACUACCCUUGUUGUAGCUACCGCCGCCACCCCCAUACACUCGGCCAGAGGGAAUAUUGCGGCCGACAAUCGCCACCCCGUGGCCUGUGGUGGAGCGGCCUGCGAAGAACGGAUCCGACGAAGCAUCCAGAAGCGAAUUGCCCACAUCCAUGGACGUCGGCGGCGGCUUGCUACGACCACCCUUGCCAACCGUCUGCCACUGAUCCUCGUCGCUGGCGCCGCUCGUAACGCUACCGGCAAUGCCUCCUGUGCGGGCAACGGCGCCGAGACUGGAGCCGCUAUUCGCGUAGGCCACGUUGCUGGUGGUGAGGCGGUCAGGCUCCGUCACACCACGCUCGCGCAGAACCUCCUCGCGGGGCCUGGCGGCCCCGAAAAUGGAUGAGCGCGUCCCAUUAGGUGCGCUUGAAUUGCCACCCCCGAGUACAGGGGCGGCAAUAGGGGAUCCGCUGGCAGCUGCCGGUCCAUCACCAGCAGCCGCUGCAGAGUUUCCAGGCGGCGACGGGACCGGCUUCGUGCGCGGCUGUAAGUUAAGCCGUGGCCUGCCAGACGCCGUGCUGAUCGCACCUGGCGGUGGAGGCGGCGACUCCUCGCGGCGCGGCGGCUGAUAAGGCGCAUGGACCUCUCCCGUAUCAUCCGUACGUCCCCGCGCGCGCCAUGCCUCCGCUGCAUCUGCCGCGCCUGUCGGCGCGAGGCUAGCACGCCAGCCAUUGCCCGCAUCGCCCAAAAGGGCACUGUUGCCAGGCGCACCAUUGCGCCAUGUCUCUGUGGGCAAGCCAGAGGCAUUGCGGCGAUCCGACUCACCGUAACCGCGCCGCGGCUCUGGGUCAUUGGAAUGGCCCCCAAUGCCAUUGGACGACACACCGCGAGGCGAUGUGCUGUAUGCACCCGAGCCGUUUGCGGAGCCGUUGGAAUAGGUCACGGGCCGGGUCAAGCUGCUUCGGGGCCGCUCGUCCGCAAUGCGGAGGCUCUCCGACAGGCUGCUGCUGCCUGCGAGGCGUGCAACGUGAUAGAGCAAUGUGCACAGCAACACCGGAAAGCGUUAUGAUAACAUGCAAACAGCGAAGAUUAGUGGGGAAAACAACAGGGAAAUGCCGCUACGACAGAGAGCUCCGUGACCACCGUGUGCGCGAUGACGACCCUUGCCUUUCAAAGUUGUUUUUAAAACAACAGCAUAAUUAGUUCACAAGAAGACAUGGAUUCACUGCACACAACACGACCAUACCGGACAGCUCACCAUUAAUAAGACUCGACUUCGCGGCCGUCAUGCGGGCCAGCGCCUGCUGCGCCAGGCGUUCCGCCCACUCGUUCUUCACCGGCUCCGAAGCUGUCACCUCAGCAACGGAAUCCAAAGGGACAGAUACGUUUGUGGCACGGACCGCCGGCUCCGCGUCAACGGACAGGGCAGCAACUUGCAGUUCGAGGCCAGCCGCCACCGCCACAGGCUUAGCCGUCUCUUCAAAUGGACUCCGCUCCUCUUGGCUCAGCAGUUGCAGGCUUUGCGGGCCCACAUACCCCACCGCGGGAAAAGGCAUCUGAAGCUGUUGCUGGUUGAGCUGCGACUGCUGAUCCUCGGUUACGAAGUCCUCGUGACGGCCGUCGCACAGACCGGCCUGCGUAGAGGGCAUACCUGCCGGCUGCAUGGGAGGAGGUGCAUUACCGAAGCUCGGUCCCGAUGGAGGGGCCAGCAUCUGCCCGUAUGCAUCAAUGCCAGGACUAAAAAACGUAGGCGGCAGCGGCCCCGGACCGCCCAUGGGACCACCAGGAGCGUUGAAUGGAUCUGACAUAAAGGCGUGUGUGCCAGGCCCCGACGAUACCAGGUGCUGCUGCAGCAACUGCUGCUGGAAUUGGUAGGCUGGGUCGAACUGUUGUUGCUGAAGAAAGUGCUGCUGCUGAUACUCUGAGAGAGGGGGAUACUGGUGCUGCGGCAGCAUGUGGUGCAGCAGCUGUUGCUGCUGCGAGAAAUCGAGCAAAGGCUGACCCUCUUGGAAUGGUGGUGGAGGAUACUGCUGCAGUUGAGGUUGCUGCGGCUGCACCAUAGGAGCUUGCGAUUGCUGUGGAAGCGAGGGAAGGUGAGCUGUGGCGUGCGCCAAUGUGUCCGCCGGCGGUUGCGUGACUUGCAGGGGGCCCUGCACAGGUGUAGCCAGAGGCGGCUGAUAGGACAGAUGCGAGGCGUAUGGAGCCGGGGGCUGUUCCACGACCUGUUGAGAUGCUGCGGCUGGACGCUCCAACGCUGGUGCGGGCUGCUGACCAUGGGAUUGCUGCAGCUGGCGAGGUGGACGCGGAGGCCGUUGAUGCUUAGCAGCUCCCUCACCGUCAAACUGCGCUCCAGCCGAUCCGGCAGCACCCGCUGCCUGCAGGGACGCACACACAACAUACAGAUGUUAAAUACUAUGCUCAGGUCAUUGAGACUGCCCUCAAGACAUCAGAUAUCAAUAGUCCUACUAAAGCAACAGCCGACAACUCGGGCCCUCUUUCUAAUCACACUCCCGGACAUUUCCUUGGAAACAGACGGAACAUGAUCAUAUCAUUAAAGGUUCAACAACUGAAGCGCUUCUCGAGUGUCCAAAGCUCUCACCUCGAGAUCGCCGACGCCUUCCCCCCCUCCAUCCGAACGUCCACCAUUCCGACGGCGACCGCCACGGCCCCUGGCGCCACCACGGCUACCUUCGAACCCGUCCCUCUUGCCGCCAUCGGUGUCCUGGUGCCUCGGCUUAGGGUUCUGCCCCGGCUGUUCCUGCGAUUGCCUCGGCUCCCUGGUCCUGCGCGGCUGCGGUCCAUUAGGUGCUGCCUCAGAGUUUUCCCUGGCAAUGCCCUCGGAAACACCGUUUUGGGAAGGGGGGCGGGAUGCCCUGGGAAGCCUCUGCCGAGGCUUCCUCUCCUGUUGUGCUUCCACCACAUUGGUGCCAGGCUGAGAGCCAGACGCCAUGCGCUGAAGCUCGACGGCCGGUCCGCUGCCUUCGCCAGCAACCGUCUGCUGACCGACGCGGCCUCGCCGUCCCCUGGGCCUGCCGUACCGCUGUCCGCCACGCUCCGCAUCCUCGUGCUCGACGGCGGCGCUGGUGCCGUUGGUAGCGGCCGUGAUGGUUGCAUUUGAAGUAGCGUUGGCAUUCGCAUUAACUGUCUCCUGCGUCGGGCCGCGCGGCCUGCGAUCCCCUCGCGGGCGUCCGUGCCUCUCUUGCUGUCGCCCCGGCACUCCGCCGUUUGAGGUAGCGUAAGCAGCAGAAUCUUCAGCUCCUGCUGGCGCGCCUUCGGGCCCUGUGCCGCCGCCCCGGCCUCGGCCAUCGCGGCGCCGUGUCUCCCUCGGACGUCCUCCAUGGGCACCAUCGGCGCUUCCAUUUGCGCCGCCACUGACGAUGUCAACAGCGGAAGCACCUCCGUUGGAAUAGGAGACGCCAAAAGCGCCUGCGUCGCGGCCUCGACCGCCGCCAGCAAGAGGCUGCAGUGACGGCUCAGUGACAUGCUGCUUGCCAUCACCACUGGCCACGGUCGCCCCGCCGGGCUUGCCUCCAGCGGAUGAGUUGACACCAUUGUAUGUCUCGGGCCUGACUGCGUUCCCAUUAACAGGUCCAUGCUUGCCACCCGUCUGACCGUUGGCGUUGUUGCGUCCAUUGUGCUGUGGAUUGGCUAGACCAUUUGAAGCAUUGAGCAGCUUGCUCCUUCCGUUCUCCACAUGCCCAUUAGCAGCGCCAUGGCUGGCGGACUGGUUGUAACCGCCGUUCCCGCUCUUUGCUACGUCCUGAACAUGGACUGGCCUGGAAAAGGCAAUAUACAUACUUUCAGAGGCAACUCAGCUGGAGUCCAUUGGAUGCCGCGAAACCUUGUCGCUGCACCUUUGGACCCAAAACUGCGGGACAUGGGACUUUCCGUCCGCGGCCCAAAGGACAGUGUAGCCACAAGCAACAAGACUAAUGAAAUAUGAAUCAAGCGUGUCGUGUUAACGAUUAGCGAUACCACCAGGUCAUAUAGUAAUGCAGAAUUCCAGGUCGAAGCGGGCUCGGAUCUAAUCCCCCCGGACCCACCUUUCGCCCUUGCGCUGCUGCUGCUGCUGGGGCUCCACCGAACUUGUUUUUGAUGUAGCGUCAUGGAUAAUCUUCUGGCCGUUUUUCAGGACGGGUUUCUGAAUCAUCGACACCUGAGCGAAGGAAGAAUGGGCGGCAAGGCUUCAAGUUCACUCGGGCCGACGCAAAGCUGACAGCUGAACAUGCAGGCGGCCUAAAAGUGAAGCCGCAGCAUUACAGGUCAACCGUCCGCCGAACUUUGAACGGGCAGUGGGCGGCAAGGAACGCAAAGCUCAUAUAGCGCAUAAACAUCUCGCACCUUGGAAUAUGCAGCAGUGUUUCUUAUGUUGUGCAAACUGAAACCUCUGAUAGACGCGGUCUUUUGUUUCAAGGGCUCUGCCCUGCUGUCAGGCCCCCUGGACCAUUGGGCUGAGCAACGAAAUCCUUUCCCUCGCCAUUACACUUAUCACCCUUCGCACAAUGUAACGAGAAUUUUUGGCAGUUUAAUAUCAAAGGUAUCUUUAACUUUCUUUCUUUUGGAAUAGAAGAUUUCAAGGAAAGUGGGAGCGACAUUCCGCUUUCGUUAGCUGGAGGUUUAUUUGAGAGCUUGACUGUGUUGCUGGAUGGGGAGCAGAGACCGUUCACGGUCUCGGGACAGGCGGCGCUCAAGGUAACUGCUUGACAGGGGAUUGGGUCUUCUCGAUAUCAUAGCGCUCCAGCGAUGCUGCAAGGCCGUUAUACGCGUCUGCUGAUGGCUCAUAGAAACAUGGUUGCGUGUGCAGGUCACGAGAGCGGUCGCGAAGAUGGGACCGGGACCGUAGGUCACGUUCCAGGUCACGAGACCGGCGACGCAGGUAAUAGCUUAUUGGAUUUGCCAUACAGAUUUGGUUAUGGUCAGAACUACGGGUCGCUGUGAAACAGCUUCGGCUAUGGCCAAUCUUUGCCGCGUCUUCGUUCCUGGGGUGCAGCCGGAGCAGGAGCAAAAGUCGCAGCCGGAGUCGUGACCGGGCGAAGUCUUUAGCUUACGAUGCAAGCAUUAGCGCUGUUCAGGUGCGUAUGGAGGUGACGGCUUGUGCGUGCCUGGCUGCCUGCACUUAUCAGGAUGCAUGCUUUGGGGUUUAUCCUAGUCAUUUAGCGGCCUCCUGGCCAACCGAACGUGGCUGCGUUUGGCAUACGGGAAACCCUGUUUGGGAAGCCCUGUUCGGCGUGUCAAGUAGUCACAUAGGUGUCCCUUCCAUGCCCGUGCCUUCAGGCAAUGGCAGCCUUGCAACAGCAGCAACAGCUCCAGCGGCAACUUCUCGCGCAACAGCUGCUAUUGCAGCAGCAGGCUGCUGCGGCAGCGGCGGCCUUGGCGCCACCGGUGCAGCAACAGAACACGAGCACAGCAAAUGCAGAUAGAAAGGCCCGCGAAAUCUACGGUAAGGGAUGUUGUCCUGCUUCACGAAGGUUCCCAUCGCUUACACACGCCACGUAUUGGCUACUGGGGUGUCGGGAGAAGACCUUUCUCUCUUCCAAACCGUGCAGUGGGCAACCUUGCCAUUGGAGUUGUGACUUCGGACAUGUUGCGCGAACUGUUCAACACAAUCUUGGCCAACCAGGUCCCAGACCCCGCGAACGCACCGCCGGUGGUCAACGUGAACUUGGACUCGGCAGGUAGGAACGGGACUAGUGUUGGGUUGUAACGGGCAUGGCGAUCAUGUGGCGACAUGUUUCAGACACGCUGGUCGUAUUGAGCAGGUCGGCUGUGGUUACAGACCUGUCAAUUCCGUUUUUAAGGUCAACACCUCAACCAAACCAUGGUCCGUCAAUUUUUCGCAUCUGUUUCAGCGUACAUCCGUUCGAAAGCCUUGAAGCCGCCCGUCCGUCCGUCCUCUUGUGAUCUUCAUGGCCUUCGAAUUUCGUUCGAACCUCCCGACCACGCUCAACCUUAAUAGGUCGCUUUGCCUUCGUGGAGUUCCGCACGCGAGAGCUCACGGAUGCCGCAAUCCAGCUGGAUAAGCUGGAGUUAUGUGGUCGGCAAAUGAACAUUGGCCGGCCCAAGGGUUAUGUGGUGAGUAGGAUGGUUAGUUAGAACGAGCCUCAGGGAAGGAUGUCCGACGAAGAUGAGCCGGCAUUUGAUAGUACGGGUCAUGCGGCAAGGGGCUCGUCCUUACCGCGCCUCCUGGGAUGUCGCGCUUGCCUUUUGUAGUUGGCCGGGCCUAUGGAGGUACUGAUGUCUUUGCAGUCUGGGCAAAUAAUUGGCAAGUGUGUGUGCUUAACCGCUGAUAUUAAUGCCAUCCAUGACCUUGCUUGCAGGCUAUGCAAAUGCAACAGCAAACAGCAUUAGCUCAGGUUAGUGUAUCGGGUAUCCAUGCUAUGGUGUUUCUGGUGGCGCUUCACAUUGUUGUUGACAUAGUGCGUAAGGGUGCUUUUGUCUUCGAUGUAAUGGAUAGCGUUGGUAUCUUCGUUUCGUCUGUGGGCUGUCCAUUGAGGUCCAAUAUCAUGAACCGCAUGGACAGGAUACGUUUUCCGGCUCUUUUAUGCCCAGAGGGUCCAAAGUUAUGCGCAUGAUCGGUUAAAAUUAACCACUUGUGCCCGCCCGCUGGUCCCUGCCAAACAACAUACAGGUCCCUAACCAGUUGGCUGACGCCGCGAAGUUGGGCCAGGCGCAGGUGCUGGCGGCGGCUCUGGCGGGUGCAGUGCCCGCGUCCGCUAACACGCUAGCUGCAGCCGCAGCGACCCUGACAGUCAACACCCCCACCAAUGUGGUGCUGUUGGAGAACAUGGUGUCGUGCGGGACCAUUCGUGAUGAGAACGAGCGCAAGGAGGUGAGGUGGCUGUAGGGUGGACUGAACAUGCGAACACCUUCGGGUGCGAGAUGCCACAGGCAGCGUGCUCCUAAGGUUCGUGUUUUCAUCGCUCGCGUGGCUUUCAUCUAUGGCCCCAGGCUGUAGUGCACCAGGCCUGGUGCUCCAAAUAGCACCGCCGGCAGUGCUUCGGAGCAGAUAUGGCACUCAAAGUGCGACAUGUGUUUAUCUGAUGCGGUGGGGCGUUUUAUCCCGAAGACUACGUAUCGCUGUGCUAUGUGGGUUGUAGGCUCUUCUUCGCGGCAGAAAGAAGGAAAAGAUGUUGGGACCCGUGCAGACGCGAACGUUAACGACAAAACGUUUUCCAGUCUGCUGGUGUUGUAGCGAGGCGCAUACGAGCAACGUCGUUUCUGUGUUUGCUGUUGCGGGCUUGUGUUCCGUUGCCCCGUGCCCUUCCCGCUGCUGCUGUUCGUGGUGCAAUCGGCGUCUUGCUGCUUUGCCCAGGCCGCGACGAUGCUCGGUGUCAGUUCCGCGGCGGGUGAUAUCGCUGCCUCCGCACUAGCGUUCCCAGCUGCCGUGGCCACGGCAACGUGCUCCCGAGGGAGAGGAGGUCCUGCCGCGGCCUGACACAUGCCUGCUGCAGCUGCCUGCAUGGCUUGUCGCGCGCUGUGCUUCGUGUUGCUGCGUGCGCCGCCCUCUGCCUGCUGCUCUGCCUGCCCUCUGUCGUGUUCCCCGUGGGUGUCCCCGCCGCUGUCCGCUGUCGUUGCCGUUGGUGCCGCCUCUGCUGCGGUGGUGUCGUGUUCAUGUCUGCAGGCUGGUCGCACAAACAUGGGUUUGGACCCGUCAGCGGGGCAGGCGGGCCCCGACGCGACAACGGUCCCAGCGGCCGGUGACGGGAGGUUUUGCCUCAGUGGGGUGGGGUGAUAUGCAGUCUUAAGUCCCCAAGGGAUUGAUAAGAAACAGCUGUUGCCCGCGAACUGGCGUAUAUGCGCGGCAGGCUCAGCAGUUGGAAGCGGCGGUUGAUUGAGAAGAUACUCGAGAGCUGCGAAUUGGGCAGCUAUCCAGGCUUCAGGCAUCUCGCUUUCUGGCGAGAAGCCACGGAUAUGGCAUGUGCCAAUCAGAUAUUUAACGGGAUCCCCUCCUCUGACGCGGCCUUGGUUCCCUUCCCUUUUUCCCAUGCAUGUUUUAUCUCGUACCGGUGUCGGUGUCCUACCAACUGGCGUCGGGCGGCGCGUCACGGCUGUCUUCACCGGGUAACUCGUCCAACACUGAUUUUGUCGUGGUGGGUCCUCGGCUGCUUGGUGCCCCUGGCGCCCCUUUUUCAGAUACUCGAGGACGUACAACAGGAGGUCGUCAAGUGCGGUCCCGUAAUUGGCCUGGCUGUACCCAUGCCACCAGCCCAUGUCACCAACCAGGAAGCCAGCCGCGUAUACGUUAAGUACUCGACGGCCGCGGAAGCGGCUCGUUGCCGUACGAUGAUGGACGGGCGCAAGUUCGAUGACAACGCCGUCAAGGCCACAUUUGUGACGGAGGGCGAAUUCCUGCGCGCCCAGGCGGGAGAGUGGGUGGCCAAACCGGGGUUAUUAAUGCCGGCAGGUGUACCGGCAUUGCCAGCCGUCGCUGCUGGCCCAGCUGCUGCGCCAGCACUGCCUGCGGCGACGGGCUUGGCAGGUCUGGGAGCUUUGGGCGCGCUGGGCGCGGCACCAGCUGCUCCGCAAGUGCCAGGUCACGUGCCAAUCCAGCAGACAGGCGGUCUGGUGUUGCCCCCGGGGUUUACACUUCCAGCGGGGUUUACGUUGGCAGGGGCUAUGCCUGGGCUCGGAUUGCCGAAGUAAGCUGUGGCCAGCGAAGUUGUUUCGAGGUAGUUGCUAGCAAGACAUGCGACGGUGAGAGGUGUGUAGGUUGCGGAUAAUUUAGGGUCUUUUAGGAAUCGGGUCCCUUCAUGUACGGGUGAUAUCAAUGGUUGCGUCGGUAGACAUAGGCAUAGCCAUCACUCCCGAGUAGCUCCUUGCACGUUACAUCAGUUCACCUUUGAGGGCUAGGCGAAAGGGGUAUGCGCCACAAAGGCGUACUUGGGUUCCCUAGCAGGCGCGGCCGUUGUGACGGCUCUGGGCGCAGCUUGGAACACGGCUGUAAGGAAGGUUGUCCAGAACGUGUUCCUUGGGGUAUCGGGUCAACCAAGAAAUGUCGGAAUAUUUUUGCAGUGAGGAGAGUUGUACAGUGGACCCCGGCCGGUUCAUGUGCAAUGCCCUAAACGAACGUCAAGCGCACAACACUGUGGGCCGUACACGGCCAAGCAUACUAGCUUCACUGACGAUAUAGCCUCAGCCAGCACAAUUGAGGACAUCAAACAUUAAAGUUUCGGGUUGUCGGGUUUUAACAUUCCUCAAGAGCAAGGAACGGGUGGCCAGACGGUAUGGAUUGCCAGCCCCUAGGAGCAUGUCUUCUCUCUGCACACGCAGUAAGACGUGCCCAGUGCCCAGUGAGGAGAGCCCGUCGGACACAUCGAUUUGCCACUGGGUUGCAAAGUAACAUAGGCAGCCGCACAUUAAGGGGCAUAAAGAGAGGUCACAAGGACAAAUUAGUACAGAGCCGUAUCUACAGCGACAGUAUGGAGAGGUUGUUUAGCUCGUACCCCGAUAGGGAACAGCUAUGCGCUGGGGUGGAAGUUCCCCAUAUGCUUAAUAAUCCUGUAAGGGCCUUGAGAGCCCGCCAUCCAGUGUGUCCCUCACCAACGUGGCCUGCAUCUUUGUGUAUGUGUGUGUGUAUGUGUGAUAUCGGGAAGGGAGAUGAGCCGUGAUCGGAAAAGUUGGCGAGCGUCGAAGCUGAUGAGACACCAUAUUCCACCUCACAAAUGAGGUGUGAUCAACUUCCAACGUGGGACGUGUGUACUUUGGGACAUCGCACAACCGGCACAACAUCUAAAAAUCCAACUUGGCGCCGGGUUGGGGAUCAAUAUAAAAGCGUGACCGUUACAAACCGUUCGAUUCCUUGCAUACCUGCUGCGUAAAGACCCUGUUCGCUCACCCAAACACUCUCUAAGAAAGUUAAAAGCUAGUACAUGCGGUUGAAACCAGUUCUUCUCCUUGUUGCGCUGAGCUAAGCUGCUCACAAAUGUGGCGACGGGCAUUCCUUAUCGGCCUGAUGAGUGCUGUUAUAUUAUGGAUUAGUAAGUAUGCCUUAUGAUGCUAGCAGAUGCCACAUCUGCGCAUCCCCGGCGUCCCGAUGUUUUGUCGCGGUGUGCGCUUCAAGGCCCAGAUCUAACUUGCCGAUUGCGACAUUCACGGGGGCAUCUUAAUACCAUAAGCUCAUCAAAUGAUCGGGCUUGCAUGACAUGAAGCUGCUGCCGAAUCCGCUGCCAAUACCGACACCCGCAAGCACUAGUCGAUCUUGCCUUGUGGAUUUUGCUCCUUGGAUACAUGCACCCUGCCUUUUUGGAUCCUAUGCGUCUAAGCUGAUGACUCGCUGCCCUUGUCACGGCCUUGUGCUUGUCAAGAUGCCCCUGCCCCUCGGGCCUCAUCCCGCAACCCACGCUUGCCCAGCCGACUUCCUCCCCACACCACCAACCCCUCGACUGCAACCGCUGGCCACCCCUACUCAACCCCUACUUCUCCACAGGCCGUGUGGAGAUACCGCUGCCGUACCCCGCGCAUCACUUCAUUUUCAAGGAUUUUGACCCCGCGCUGCUGCCCACCAACCCCAUGCCACUCGAGGUACGAUAAAACACACGAGCUCUCAAGUACCAACAUGGCCAACACGGUUUCCGACGUUUUCUGUGAUUUCCAGCGCAAGGCGGGAUCUUAACGCUGCAUGUGUUCAAUCGUCAGAGCUCCGAAUCACCCCAAGUGCAGUACUAUCUCAUCACGCACCGCUCCUGUUUGCCGCAUGCUUUCGUUUUGCGGCUCAUAGGGGCCCUAUAUCUGGCAUAGCGCUGUACAUGAGUUCCAACCGCUAACGGCGACAGGAGGAGACCCUAGGCAUUUAGGUUACAGGGUGACGUGUCGUGCGGGCGAGGCGGGGCUUCGUACGGCGGCACUUUUGCCCUGCGCUGGUGUCCGUCUCGGUCACAGUCCUCCGUGCUAAUAGCCGUACUACCUCCCGUACUUCCUGCCGUGCAACUGCAGGGUCCGUACGCUCCGAAUGAGAUUCUCCGUAAGGGGCACCGCCUUUUCGAUGGUGUCAUUCAGUCCUCAGGUUGGUUAAAGAGGGAACCCCAGGUGACGGUGAAAGGUUGGAUGAUUCAACACACAGCUGUGCCGAUGUUUCCUCUGCUUCUUCUUCCUUCAUCAUUCGCGCAGGUUCCCCAGUGAGGGUCUUGUUGUAUUCGAUAAGCAUAAGCAAUGUCGGGAUCGAACUGGGGACGUGGUGAUGCUUGCCCCUUGAGGAAGUUUGGAUGUCCGUGUAGGUAGUGUCGACAGCCCUAAGAGUGACCCAUGGGUCUGGGUUCCAAUAUCCUCCCACCCAUCCGCUGCGUAGAGCACGUGGCCAUUUCUCCGGAAGGUAACCUCACGCUGAUUGACAAGUUUGGCUACGUCUACGAGGCCGCGCCAGCCACCAGUGUACGUACGGGCGAGGCGUGUAUUGUCCGUACGAGUAGCCGUACUGGUUUCCCACGGCUGAAACGUCGGUUGGGACCUUUCCUCCGGCCAAUAUCUUUCUUUGCCUGUUAACUCUGUUCGUUUCAUAAAGGUAAACUCUUACAUGUGAUUCGGUAAGUUGCAUUCCUAGUAGUCAUUAAAAAUCCACGUCUGCUGUUUAGUUGUAUGUUGUCUUUUUACUAAUCUGGUCAAACCCGAAUCGUGAGGUACCAAAACGAACAGGGCCCGCAAGGCGCUUUCCCGGAAGGUUUCACAUGCGGGCAGGAGGAGGUGGCACACACGGUGUAUGUCGGCUGCACGUGCCGCACCCGCUGCAGGUCCCCGGCGCCGUGUACCCCGAGGAGUGGGCUCCGGACCUCCCCCCCGUGGCCUACAUCGGCCCCGCGGGUCGCCCCCUGGGAUUCCACCACGACGGCGCGGGGAACCUCAUCAUAGCGGAUGCGCUCAAGGUUGAGGGGUGUGGGGUGCGGCCGCGACAGCGCCACGGACUGUGCCUGUAACGGGCUGUCUCACCUAGGGAGGGGCAGCAUACCGCGAGGAAGUGUAGCAACACCCCCACAGCCCUAGGGGGUGCACUGUUCAGUCUGUCAGACCGUGUGCAAGUUGGUCGACUAAUAAGCAGCGGCGGGCACCACCUGACUGCAGACCAGGUCAGAUCACAUCGAGUACAAUUAAAUUAAACAGUCUGAUAAGGUAGAGAAUGAAACGUGACUAGGAGUAGGCCAAGCUUACGAAAUCCUAACUAAACCAAGGCAUACCUGGUUCGCGGCCAUUAGGAAAUCCUCGGCCC